rnacentral:rRNA from 1 species
UACGUAGGGUGCGAGCGUUGUCCGGAAUUAUUGGGCGUAAAGAGCUCGUAGGCGGUGUGUCACGUCGGCCGUGAAAACCUGCAGCUUAACUGUGGGCGUGCGGUCGAUACGGGCAUCACUGGAGUUCGGCAGGGGAGACUGGAAUUCCGGGUGUAGCGGUGGAAUGCGUAGAGAUCCGGAAGAACACCGGUGGCGAAGGCGGCCUGCUGGGCAGUUUAGCUGACACUGAGGCGCGACAGCGUGGGGAGCAAACAGG